rnacentral:misc_RNA from 1 species
UAAAACAUCAAAACCGUUUAGUGUUUAAACUACGAAAGAAAUGCGUUUAUUAAAUUUAUUUAAAUUGAUCGCAAUUUGUAGUUUAUAUAAUUUAGGAAAAGCGGCGAAUAUUUUAGGAGUGUUUCCAAUACCGAGUAAAAGUCAUGAUAUUUUGGGUAGCACGCUUUGUAAACAUUUAUCAAAUCUUGGACAUAACGUAACUUAUAUUUCACCGUUUCUUCAUGAAUCCCAAAAGGAUUUCCACCAUAUUUAUGUUAAAGAAAUUGAAACAAUCAGAGUAGAUCAUAUGAAACAAAUUACACAAGGUAAGGAUAGCACACUCGGAACGAUGCUUCGUUUAAUCAAAUUGAUAGAUAUUUCUGAUUUGAUUUUUAACAACCCCGAAGUUCAGCAAUUAAUCAAUUCAAAAUCAGUCCUAAAAUUUGAUUUAUUAAUACACUUUAUGGGAAUGGAUUCAACUUUGGCUUUAGCACACCAUUUUGACGUACCGAUAAUCAUAUUUUCACCAAUUGGUGGAUUUCCCCACAUAAAUAAUUUAGUUGUAAAUCCAACUCCUUUUUCUUACGUUCCAAACGCAUUAUUACCUUUUACCGAAAAUAUGAAUUUUAUGGAAAGAACCAUUAACACAGCGGUUACAUUAAUGUUUCCCCUUCACGAAGCUAUAAUGAAUUGGAUAUCGGAUAAAUCACUUGAAAAAUAUUUACCCGGCUCAUUACCAAUGCAAGAAAUUAAAAAACGGAUCGAGUUGGUUUUAGGAAAUACUCAUAUUAGCACGGAAAGUCCUCGACCUUACGUUCCAAAUAUGAUUCAAAUCGGCGGUUUUCAUUUACAUAAUCCAAAACCUGUCGAUGAAGCUUUAAAAAAUGUAUUAGAUGAAGCAAAAGAAGGAUUUAUUUAUUUUAGUUUCGGCACAAACGUAAACGUUAAAGAACUCGGCGAAAAUGUCAUGGAUAUUUUCAGGAAAGUUUUGGGAAAUUUGCCUUUAAAAAUCAUUAUGAAAUACGAAGAUGAUUUUAUGGAGAAUAAACCGGACAAUUUUUAUUUAGAAAAGUGGUUUCCACAACCUGCAGUUUUAGCUCAUCCAAACGCGAAAUUAUUUAUUACUCAUGGGGGUUAUGGCGGAUGUACAGAAAGUCUUUAUUAUGGUGUUCCAAUGGUGUGUAUUCCAUUUUUUGGAGAUCAAUUUAAAAAUUGUGCUGACGCCGAAAUAAAUGGCUAUUCGAUUACGGUUAAAUUAAAUGAAUUAAGUGAGAAAUCAUUUUCUGAGGGUUUAAAUAAAGUUCUUUACGAUGAACAAUUUCAAGAAGCUGUUAAAUUUAAAUCUGAAAUGUAUCGAGAUCAACCUAUGCAUCCAAUGGAUAAAGCUGUUUAUUGGAUCGAACAUGUUUUAAAGCACAAAGGAGCUAAACACUUAAAAAUUAAAGGAGCUGAUUUACCGUGGUAUCAAUAUUUAUUGGUUGAUGUAUUUUUGUUUCUUGGAUUUGUGAUAUUAAUUGCUUGCUUUAUUAGUAUAUGUAUCAUGAAAUUUCUUUUUAGAAAAUUAUUUGGUGCUAAAAAUAAAAUAAAAGUAAAUUAAAAAUAUCGUGACAAAUAGAAGCCUUUGUUUAUUGAGAAAUUAAAAAUUUGAUUAUGUAAAAAAAGACAUACAUAUUUUAUAAAAAUAUAGAUAAAAAAAAGAAUUUUUCAAUGUGAAGGUUUGUAAGAUUGUAGUUAAUAAGUUUUUGCAGUAUAUCUUGAAGUUAUUUGAACUAAACAAAAACUGAAACUGGAAAUGCAUGUUGAGUAGUGUUUCCUUCACUUGUCCUAGAUACAACAGGUGUUCUCAAUACGCGCUGGUCACAAUGACAUCUAGAUAGACAAAGCUAAAUGGUAUAAAAAAAGUAACUUUCUUUAAUUCAAAAGGCAGCAGAAUUGGUAUGUUGCUGCAUUAAUAGUAAUAACAGUAGUGAUGGCAGUACUCAAAGUAUAAGUCCGAUUGGUAGUUGGAGAUAAUCACUGUGUUCUAAUUUGCUUCCCUUACGAUGGUUUGUGUUUUACCACUGAAUAUCUAUCUGUAUGGUGGUAGCCGAACUACCUUUGCUUUCUUGACUGCCAAUUCUCUGUUCUCCAUUAAUGGUGGAGCCCAUUUAAAAACCAUGAUAGAACUAAGUUUUUUAUUGUGUUUAGUUUAAUAAAACUUCUCCUUAAAAUUAAGUAAAUCAAUGAAGUUUUCCAAGAUUUAGUUGCGCAACAAUAAAGUCUUUAGUCUCCUUUAUGUAAAUAUACUUUUAUUUCUUAUUAUUGUGAUUUUUCUUGUAUGUUUUGUUACAUUUUACAUUAUAAAAUUAAUUUUUAAAAAAAUUUUUGGGUCUAAACAUAAAAUUAAGGUCCGCUUUUACCACCUCUAGUUAAACUGGUCGUUAGUCUAACUAUAAGAUAACGUUUAUCUAUUAGUUAACUGCGAAACGACUUUUACCAUUUCGAUCUAACUAAUGGAUAGGCUAUCUAGUAGUUAACGUAAAAAUCUAGGGGAAUAUUAUAAUGACUGUUGGUGACCACGUGUAAAAGAGGUAUUACAGGUUUCUAUCUCCUUUGUCCGUCGGUAAUUCUCAUAAACCUGUCAGUUCUGUUAGUGGCAAUUAACGAUCACGAAAAAAUAAAAACAGCAAAUCAGACCGAAAAUCGUAUUCGGGGGGCAAAUUUUAAACCUGAAGAAAUAACACUUUUACUUGACUUGGUGGCGGAUCAUAAAAAUGUCCUCAAGAAUAAAAAUAGUCACGUUAGUACGUAGAAAAUAACGUUUGGGUUUUGCAAACAACAAGGAAAGAUUGAUCUGCUUUAUAUGGUGUAGUGUCCAAUAAAGCUGUCCAGGAUACCUAUAACAAGUUAUUA